AAGUAUGAAAAGUAUCGGGUCAUUUCUAUCUGAACAGAUUAUCGACAGCGAAUUUAUCCAAACACUUUAGGAAAGAGAAGAUCCUAAAAUCUAAAAUACAAGCGCAAGGGGGGCGAGGAGAGCAGGGUGGGCUGGGUGCUGGAGCGAGUAGGACGUUAACAGCCAAUAGUUUGCACCUGUCCGUCAACUCGCACCACCCACUCAGCGCCGCUCGGGCCAGCGCGGGCGGCCGCUUCGCUGGCUGUGCAGCCUGUUCUAGGCCGUGGGAGAGCACUAAAGAAGACUUUCAAGCCACUCCUCGAAGAGCUUCUGAUCCGUGGGGGAGAUGAAAUCUGCCUUCCUUAUUUACAUGACCCUGGAUGUCUGCCAUUUUGAAGAAUUCCAGAUUAGCGCUGAGCUAACUGCUGCCAAUCCUCUUUUCACUGAGGAAGACUGGCCCUGAGCUAACAUCCAUGCCCAUCUUCCUCUACUGUAUAUGUGGGACGCCUACCACAGCGUGGCUUGCCAAGUGGUGCCAUGUCCGCAGCCGGGAU
rnacentral:lncRNA from 1 species